GUGGAUUAGAUACCCUGGUAGUCCACGCCGUAAACGGUGGGCGCUAGGUGUGGGUUUCCUUCCACGGGAUCCGUGCCGUAGCUAACGCAUUAAGCGCCCCGCCUGGGGAGUACGGCCGCAAGGCUAAAACUCAAAGGAAUUGACGGGGGCCCGCACAAGCGGCGGAGCAUGUGGAUUAAUUCGAUGCAACGCGAAGAACCUUACCUGGGUUUGACAUAUACCGGAAAGCCGUAGAGAUACGGCCCCCCUGGUGGUCGGUAUACAGGUGGUGCAUGGCCGUCGUCAGCU
rnacentral:rRNA from 1 species